AUACAGAUUACUUGGAGAUCUGGUUCAAAUGUAAAUUCAGUUUAUUAUAUCUGUGUUGUGGCCUGAGGUUCUGAAUUUCUAACAAGCUCUCAAAUGAUGCCAAU
rnacentral:pre_miRNA from 1 species